rnacentral:tRNA from 1 species
AAGAGAGUCAUAGUGGUUAUGGGGCUGGCUUGAAACCAGCCUUAGGGAGUUCGAUUCUUCCCUUUCUUG